AUUGAACGCUGGCGGCAUGCUUUACACAUGCAAGUCGAACGGUAACAGGCCGCAAGGUGCUGACGAGUGGCGAACGGGUGAGUAAUGCAUCGGAACGUGCCCAGUCGUGGGGGAUAACGCAGCGAAAGCUGUGCUAAUACCGCAUACAAUCUAUGGAUGAAAGCGGGGGACCGUAAGGCCUCGCGCGAUUGGAGCGGCCGAUGUCAGAUUAGGUAGUUGGUGGGGUAAAGGCCUACCAAGCCGACGAUCUGUAGCUGGUCUGAGAGGACGACCAGCCACACUGGGACUGAGACACGGCCCAGACUGCUACGGGAGGCAGCAGUGGGGAAUUUUGGACAAUGGGCGCAAGCCUGAUCCAGCAAUGCCGCGUGCAGGAAGAAGGCCUUCGGGUUGUAAACUGCUUUUGUACGGAACGAAACGGUCUGGGUUAAUACCCUGGGCUAAUGACGGUACCGUAAGAAUAAGCACCGGCUAACUACGUGCCAGCAGCCGCAGUAAGAC
rnacentral:rRNA from 1 species